GUGGCGCUGGUGUCGGCUGGUGUCGAGCGGCGCGUCGCCUCGCUCUCCUCCGCCUCAGUUGUACUGGAAGGCGCUGCUGGUACCGUCGCUCUGGGCCGGCGCCGAGCAGCCCCUCAGUGAGCGGAUCUUCCACGCAGACUGGCUGCACGCCGAGCUGAGCGCCCACCAGGGCGGCGAGCUGCUGCAGCUGUACCGGGCGCUGCUGCAGCCGGCACACGUGGCGCCACCUGUGGAUCUCGCCGGACCAGACCUGCACGCGGCCGUGCAGACGGAUGUGCGCGGCCUGGACGUGAAGCUCUCGGAGACGGCCUGGUGCCGGGCGGCGGC